rnacentral:ribozyme from 14 species
UACAUCAGACAUUAAAAAAAGGGGAUGUCAAAAGGAUUCAACAAAGUAUUUAUUCUUCUUCUUUUUCUUUUUAAUUUUUUUUU